UUUUUUUUUACUGGAAAGUGAAAUUGAUAUUCAGGCCUUCAGGUUGGAAUAUGAUGUGUUUCUCUUCGACCCUGAGGCUGACAAGUUGAGCAACUCCAGCCAUUGCUAUUCUCUCAUCAUCCCUGCUAGUGUCCCCAUCCAAUCAACUUUGGUGAGCUCUUCUCCCGUCCUUCUGCUAUGUACCCGUGGGUAUCUUGAGCCUGUCACAUGACCAUGAUGUAAUUAAGGCUAUGCUGGGCAUGAUAUAAUGGUCUUGUGAUGGUAGAGUGACAUAAUUUUCCUGCCAGUGAGAGGUCAUGUGACAGUUUUUUUUCAACAGGGUAUAAAAGGAGAACCCCUCCCUGUGAUGUGGGGCAGUUCAUGGUUGAAUUCAUCAGUGACUCCGUUGCACUGCAUAUUUGAUGUUAUGACGCAGUUUUGUUUUAAAGUGGAGUUUUACGUUCUGCCUUAAGUCUCAAAGGUUAUUGGAGUUUUGCUACAAUAAUGCCAUUUCAGUCCAGUCGGAGAGUGAAGAUUUAUCAAAGUUCAGGAAGCUGGAGGAUCAAGGAAAGUUGAUGUCGGCGGUAAAACUAGUUUGACCUUUAAUUAAUCUUCGUGCAAGGAAUUAGUAACUUGUGCCCAAGAUAACUCCUGCUUUGUCAAAAGAGCAGGAAGAGUUGGAUGCAGAGCUUCACCAAGGAAAGAGCCACACAACCCCACUACCAUCUUGUUCUUCGCUUGUCCUUUCAAGAAACAUAAGUAUCUGGGAAACAAGAGGACCUGCAGAUGCUAGAAAUCUAGAGAACUACACAUAAAGUGCUGGAGCAGCUCAGCAAGUCAGACAGCAUCUAUGGAUGGGAAUCAACUUUUCAGGCCAAGACCCUUCAUCGGGACUCUUGAUACCGACAUAUCUUGAAAAUCAACAUGCGAAGAAAAUAGAAGGUAAUGCAAAAUAGGAAAAACCUUUGACAAAAUUUAGUUCAAGGCUUAAAAAACCAACCAGAGCUCAGCAGUUAAGAAAUACAACAAAGGCAAUAAACACUUACAUCAAUACCGAUAUUUACUUUAUUUUUUACAAAAAUAUCUUGCUCCUGUUUCAAUUAGUAAAAUUUACAAAGUAAGAACUUUAGAAAACUUUAGAGAAGACUAUUUAUACUCAAACCCACUUAGAUUAACACUACCUUGGACAGAAGGAGAUAGAAAAAUAACACACAUGAAAAAACACAGUCAGAAAAAACUUCUAAAUAUAUCUUUUCAUCAAAAAUGAACAGGAUUCAGCACUCCAUGUGAGUAUAUACAAUCGUGGUAAGAAAUACAGACCAGAAAACUUAAAUGAGAGGCCAACUGAGAAAAAUGAAUCAUCACUAUGGAAGAAAACAUUAACCAGUGGAAUGAGUAUGACCCUCCAUGGGAGUCAUCCCAAUGAUCUGAGUAGAUGAGAUGGUGACAAGGAGGCAUUGAGCACCUGACUGAGAGUUGGAGACCUUUUCCCAGAAACAGAGGGGUCUCUUGCAGAAAUACAGGACAAGGUGGUUAACAAAAGGGGAAAAAAAAUCAAAAAUACAUGAAAAGACAAUCAAAUAAGGCAGUAAGUGCAGAAAAUGGCAAGAGAAACUAGACACAAUCCAACACAUUCCAGGAUCCUGCAGCAGUUUAACUCAAUCUGAUUACUUACAAAGGUACAAUCAAGUGGCAAAUAUCACUUACAAAAUCUUGCUAUAAAAUACAAACUCAUGAAUGCCCUUCACCACUUCAUAAAGACACCAUAAAUUCAAGUCUGAUCCAGCUUUAGAGACAAAAUCUUACAAAUUAUAGAGAAUCAAACAUUAUUACAGAUAGGACAAUGGAGAAUAACCAUCCAGAUAUAUUACAGGAUAAAUAUGCAGGAAGACGUCACUCAAAAGAUAAAACCAUUCCCAGCAAACACAUGUGCCUCGACCACUGGAGCACCUCACCACAAGUAUUGUUUGUGUCAUCAGUCAGACAACCGAAAGAUUUUCUCUGUCAAUCAGCUUCCAAAUGUUGCUACUCUGUCAUUCGUUGCUACGCCCCACUCGUGAUUCCCUUCUCGACUUCUUCGGUCUGCAGAAAAUUCAAGGGAAACCUCUUCACUUACACUGUGGUGACUGUUUGGAACCCAUCACCACAGGGAGAGCUAGAGAUGAACAACAGGGGAGGAUUUAAAAGGACUGCCAGAGAACAGAAUCAUUGGCAGGGUCCAGCUGCCCUGAGUUGACUCUCUACUGCACACCAGGUCUGUUAUAAAUUCACUAAGUAUCGGAGACAGAGUUUAAAAUAGAACUGAAUUUAAUUGUCUCAUAUCCAGAAUAUUAAUCUCUGGUCCCAUUAAAGGUGAAUAUGCAGCAGAAGAAACUCCUCCCAUGCCCAGCGACGAGGGUGCAGAACUGGUGUGGUGAGCAGCAGCAAUAAUUGCAGAGUUCAGCACCAACAGUCACUCUCAAAAUUGCAUUCAGCAACGGUGAUGGACAAAUAUCAGCAUGCAGCUUAUUGAAACUUUUUCCCCAGUGUGAACCCUGUAGUGGGUCACAAGUGCAACACGCUGUAAGAUUUCACUGCUAAUGUAAUGGCCUCUCUGCAAUGUUUCACUGCUGAGGUAAUGGUUUCUCUGUAGCAGCAAUGUUUAGGUUAUGACUAGAGUUUGACUAGGUUAUGACUAGACUAAUGUUUAGGGUUUUGGAGAGCUAUCCAAUGACAGAAAUGUUCUUUCUUGUGAGUCUGGAAGAGAGAUUUCCAUGGUCUUUUGCUGGGGAGAGAUGAGAAGACGCAAAUGGAGAGAGUGGGCCCUUUUUCUUUUUUUUGUUUUCUUUACUAACCCUAUAGUCAAAGUAAGAAUUAUAAAGCUCAAUCGUUUAAUCACA